rnacentral:rRNA from 1 species
UACGUAGGGUGCAAGCGUUAAUCGGAGUUACUGGGCGUAAAGCGUGCGCAGGCGGUCAUACAAGACAGAUGUGAAAUCCCCGGGCUUAACCUGGGAAUUGCAUUUGUGACUGUAUGGCUGGAGUGCGGCAGAGGGGGAUGGAAUUCCGCGUGUAGCAGUGAAAUGCGUAGAUAUGCGGAGGAACACCGAUGGCGAAGGCAAUCCCCUGGGCCUGCACUGACGCUCAUGCACGAAAGCGUGGGGAGCAAACAGG